rnacentral:lncRNA from 1 species
CUGUAAGUCAACACAGGCUUAUGCCAUUCACGUGUUAUUACUGUUGCUUCGAGGGAGACUUUGAUAUGGUUGUUGAACACUGCACAGAACUCCACUCCAAUCAAAUUCGUCUAAAGAAAACAUGUCUGCCUGCACAACACAGCAGAUUAUAGAUGACUGGGAUGAGCCUUUAAGAGACGUAUCAACCAUUCGUUUAAGGGACCAUUCGUUUGAUCUAGAGGAGCGAAGGCGAGGAAAAAGAACCAGAAAAUCUGGAAAAGUGUCUAAGCCAAAUCAGCCAGCACGAAAUCCGUUCCCAGUUCGGGAGUACCACAAGGCGUCAGAGGCAAAGAUACUUCACCAUGUGCGUCGUGGGUUAAACCUGGAAUCUUUUAACGACUCAUAGAAACUAGACUCUUUGAAGGACUCAUAGAAACACUACUCUUUUAAUACCUCAUAGAAAUUG